rnacentral:rRNA from 1 species
GACGAACGCUGGCGGCGUGGAUUAGGCAUGCAAGUCGAACGGUAUCAUCCUUUCGGGGGUGAGAGAGUGGCGAACUGGUGAGUAACACGUAGGUUAUCUACCCUCAAGACGGGGACAACCCAGGGAAACUUGGGCUAAUACCGGAUGUGAGCAACUUUUAGUUGUUUGAAAGGUGGCGUAAGCUGUCGCUUGGGGAUGAGCCUGCGUCCUAUUAGUUAGUUGGUGAGGUAACGGCUCACCUAGGCAAUGAUAGGUAGGCGGCCUUAACGGGUGGUCGCCCACACUGGGAUUGAGAUACGGCCCAGACUCCUACGGGAGGCAGCAGUCGAGAAUAGUCUACAAUGGUCGGAAGACUGAUAGUGCGACGCCGCGUGAACGAUGAAUCCCUUCGGGGUGUAAAGUUCUUUUAUAUGUGAGCAGUGCCUCUUAUAUUAACAGUAUGGGGAGAGAGAUAUUAGCAUAUGAAUAAGCAACGGCUAACUCCGUGCCAGCAGCCGCGGUAAACUCGU